GUUAAGCGACUAAGCGUACACGGUGGAUGCCCUGGCAGUCAGAGGCGAUGAAGGACGUGCUAAUCUGCGAUAAGCGUCGGUAAGGUGAUAUGAACCGUUAUAACCGGCGAUUUCCGAAUGGGGAAACCCAGUGUGUUUCGACACACUAUCAUUAACUGAAUCCAUAGGUUAAUGAGGCGAACCGGGGGAACUGAAACAUCUAAGUACCCCGAGGAAAAGAAAUCAACCGAGAUUCCCCCAGUAGCGGCGAGCGAACGGGGAGCAGCCCAGAGCCUGAAUCAGUGUGUGUGUUAGUGGAAGCGUCUGGAAAGGCGCGCGAUACAGGGUGACAGCCCCGUACACAAAAAUGCACAUGCUGUGAGCUCGAUGAGUAGGGCGGGACACGUGGUAUCCUGUCUGAAUAUGGGGGGACCAUCCUCCAAGGCUAAAUACUCCUGACUGACCGAUAGUGAACCAGUACCGUGAGGGAAAGGCGAAAAGAACCCCGGCGAGGGGAGUGAAAAAGAACCUGAAACCGUGUACGUACAAGCAGUGGGAGCCUCUUUUAUGGGGUGACUGCGUACCUUUUGUAUAAUGGGUCAGCGACUUAUAUUCUGUAGCAAGGUUAACCGAAUAGGGGAGCCGAAGGGAAACCGAGUCUUAACUGGGCGUUAAGUUGCAGGGUAUAGACCCGAAACCCGGUGAUCUAGCCAUGGGCAGGUUGAAGGUUGGGUAACACUAACUGGAGGACCGAACCGACUAAUGUUGAAAAAUUAGCGGAUGACUUGUGGCUGGGGGUGAAAGGCCAAUCAAACCGGGAGAUAGCUGGUUCUCCCCGAAAGCUAUUUAGGUAGCGCCUCGUGAAUUCAUCUCCGGGGGUAGAGCACUGUUUCGGCAAGGGGGUCAUCCCGACUUACCAACCCGAUGCAAACUGCGAAUACCGGAGAAUGUUAUCACGGGAGACACACGGCGGGUGCUAACGUCCGUCGUGAAGAGGGAAACAACCCAGACCGCCAGCUAAGGUCCCAAAGUCAUGGUUAAGUGGGAAACGAUGUGGGAAGGCCCAGACAGCCAGGAUGUUGGCUUAGAAGCAGCCAUCAUUUAAAGAAAGCGUAAUAGCUCACUGGUCGAGUCGGCCUGCGCGGAAGAUGUAACGGGGCUAAACCAUGCACCGAAGCUGCGGCAGCGACGCUUAUGCGUUGUUGGGUAGGGGAGCGUUCUGUAAGCCUGUGAAGGUGUGCUGUGAGGCAUGCUGGAGGUAUCAGAAGUGCGAAUGCUGACAUAAGUAACGAUAAAGCGGGUGAAAAGCCCGCUCGCCGGAAGACCAAGGGUUCCUGUCCAACGUUAAUCGGGGCAGGGUGAGUCGACCCCUAAGGCGAGGCCGAAAGGCGUAGUCGAUGGGAAACAGGUUAAUAUUCCUGUACUUGGUGUUACUGCGAAGGGGGGACGGAGAAGGCUAUGUUGGCCGGGCGACGGUUGUCCCGGUUUAAGCGUGUAGGCUGGUUUUCCAGGCAAAUCCGGAAAAUCAAGGCUGAGGCGUGAUGACGAGGCACUACGGUGCUGAAGCAACAAAUGCCCUGCUUCCAGGAAAAGCCUCUAAGCAUCAGGUAACAUCAAAUCGUACCCCAAACCGACACAGGUGGUCAGGUAGAGAAUACCAAGGCGCUUGAGAGAACUCGGGUGAAGGAACUAGGCAAAAUGGUGCCGUAACUUCGGGAGAAGGCACGCUGAUAUGUAGGUGAAGCGACUUGCUCGUGGAGCUGAAAUCAGUCGAAGAUACCAGCUGGCUGCAACUGUUUAUUAAAAACACAGCACUGUGCAAACACGAAAGUGGACGUAUACGGUGUGACGCCUGCCCGGUGCCGGAAGGUUAAUUGAUGGGGUCAGCGCAAGCGAAGCUCUUGAUCGAAGCCCCGGUAAACGGCGGCCGUAACUAUAACGGUCCUAAGGUAGCGAAAUUCCUUGUCGGGUAAGUUCCGACCUGCACGAAUGGCGUAAUGAUGGCCAGGCUGUCUCCACCCGAGACUCAGUGAAAUUGAACUCGCUGUGAAGAUGCAGUGUACCCGCGGCAAGACGGAAAGACCCCGUGAACCUUUACUAUAGCUUGACACUGAACAUUGAGCCUUGAUGUGUAGGAUAGGUG
rnacentral:rRNA from 1 species